rnacentral:tRNA from 1 species
CAGAGAGUAGUUAAAUUAGAACGGUGGUCCUGGGAACCAUUGGCGGGGGUUUGAUUCCCUCCUCUUUGA